rnacentral:rRNA from 1 species
GCUCAGAUUGAACGCUGGCGGCAGGCCUAACACAUGCAAGUCGAGCGGUAGCACAGAGAGCUUGCUCUCGGGUGACGAGCGGCGGACGGGUGAGUAAUGUCUGGGAAACUGCCUGAUGGAGGGGGAUAACUACUGGAAACGGUAGCUAAUACCGCAUAAUGUCGCAAGACCAAAGUGGGGGACCUUCGGGCCUCAUGCCAUCAGAUGUGCCCAGAUGGGAUUAGCUAGUAGGUGGGGUAACGGCUCACCUAGGCGACGAUCCCUAGCUGGUCUGAGAGGAUGACCAGCCACACUGGAACUGAGACACGGUCCAGACUCCUACGGGAGGCAGCAGUGGGGAAUAUUGCACAAUGGGCGCAAGCCUGAUGCAGCCAUGCCGCGUGUGUGAAGAAGGCCUUCGGGUUGUAAAGCACUUUCAGCGGGGAGGAAGGCGAUAAGGUUAAUAACCUCGUCGAUUGACGUUACCCGCAGAAGAAGCACCGGCUAACUCCGUGCCAGCAGCCGCGGUAAUACGGAGGGUGCAAGCGUUAAUCGGAAUUACUGGGCGUAAAGCGCACGCAGGCGGUCUGUCAAGUCGGAUGUGAAAUCCCCGGGCUCAACCUGGGAACUGCAUUCGAAACUGGCAGGCUAGAGUCUUGUAGAGGGGGGUAGAAUUCCAGGUGUAGCGGUGAAAUGCGUAGAGAUCUGGAGGAAUACCGGUGGCGAAGGCGGCCCCCUGGACAAAGACUGACGCUCAGGUGCGAAAGCGUGGGGAGCAAACAGGAUUAGAUACCCUGGUAGUCCACGCCGUAAACGAUGUCGAUUUGGAGGUUGUGCCCUUGAGGCGUGGCUUCCGGAGCUAACGC